AGUACUUAAAGCAUAUAAACGAGUAUAAAUAUAUAUCUACUCCACAAUUAGAAAUGUAAUGCAAGAAAUCCAUACCACUCGUACGACAGAGAAUCUGCAUGGAAAGGUGAGGGUGCUGUAAGGGAACGUCAAGAAAAAUCAAUCAUUAGACGUUCACCAGGAACACUUGGUUUCUUGUUAUCGGUGGCAGGUGGUGGACCUGUGGAUGGAACAAUUGCGCCAAUUGUAGUUGGUUCUGCAGGAGCUGAUGUUGAUGGGACCAACGCUAGAUAGUCUGAUUCAUUCAAUGCUGGUGUAGCAGGCACAACUGCAUCAGCAGCAACUGAAGAAUCCAAGUUUGAUGUUUGGGUUGUACUUGAUUCUGCAGGAGUGGCACCGGUUUCUGUUGCGGAUGCAGCACCAGAUUCUAUCACGGGUGGUGUAGCACCAAUUUCUGUCGCCGGUGGUGCAGCGCCAGUUUCUGUCGUGGGUGCAGCGCCAGUUUCUGAUGCGGGUGCAGCACCAGAGUCUGAUGCGGGUGCAGCACCAGAGUCUGAUGCCGGUGCAGCACCAGAGUCUGACGCAGGUGGAUUACUUGAUUCUGGUGUAGUGGAAGCCCCGUUUUCUGAUUUAAGAGGAACACCUGAUUCUGAUGUUGCAGGUGUGUUGCUUCCAGCAGGAACAGAAGCAAUUGGUGCUGUUGUUUUAGAUCCUUCCAGAAGUAGUGGUUUGCCAGGUUGUGGCAACCCCGGCUUCCCCAAAAGAGGUUUGGCUUGACCGGGAUUUGGACCGUAUAGAGAUGCCAUACCAGGUGGCAGUAUUUCAAUUGGUGGCUUCUUCGCAGCAUCUGCCAAACUUGUGAGCUUAGACCCCUCGAGGGAGGCCAGAAAUGCAGCCGCGGCAUCAGUUUUCAUUGAUGGAGUGUGUUCCAACUCCUUCUGCAACAUUUUGUUCCAUGACUGGACCAAGGUUCUCAUUGAAGGUCGGCCAUGAGCAUGUGCAUGUAGUACAGCCUCAGCAAGCAUCCCAGUUUCCUGCCAUGCUUUCUCCAUAAGUACAUUGUCUCCCAAAAGUGCAGCUGCAAAUGCAGCCUCCCGUCCCGCACCAACUGAUAUCAAGUUGUUUACCAAGUUACUAAGUCGUGUUAACUCCCCAUGAUUUGCAAGACGUAAAGCAACACCUCUUAAUUCCUGACCUCGCAGAGCUCCCUUUAUAGAACCAGCAGCAGCUAGUCUUUUAAGAGCUUCACGAGCAAUAUCAGCUUGUGCUGUAGCAUCUGCAGCAUCAAUGAGUUCCAUAAAUUCCUUGGCAAAUUUAACUACUCCUUGAACAGCUUCAACAACAUU
rnacentral:misc_RNA from 1 species